rnacentral:rRNA from 1 species
UACGGGGGGAGCAAGCGUUGUUCGGAUUUACUGGGCGUAAAGGGCGCGUAGGCGGCCACCGCAAGUCGACUGUGAAAUCUCCGGGCUUAACCCGGAACGGUCAGCCGAUACUGCGGGGCUAGAGUGCAGAAGGGGCAACUGGAAUUCUCGGUGUAGCGGUGAAAUGCGUAGAUAUCAAGAGGAACACCUGAGGCGAAGGCGGGUUGCUGGGCUGACACUGACGCUGAGGCGCGAAAGCUAGGGUAGCAAACAGGAUUAGAUACCCCAGUAGUCC